rnacentral:rRNA from 1 species
GAUCAUGGCUCAGGACGAACGCUGGCGGCGUGCUUAACACGUGCAAGUCGAACGAGAAUCUGCGGAACGAGGAUUCGUCCAAGUGAAGCAGAGGACAGUGGCGGACGGGUGAGUAACGCGUGAGGAACCUGCCUUUCAGAGGGGGACAACAGUUGGAAACGACUGCUAAUACCGCAUGACACAUAGAUGUCGCAUGGCAUUUAUGUAAAAGAUUUAUCGCUGAAAGAUGG